rnacentral:rRNA from 1 species
GAUGAACGCUGGCGGCGUGCUUAACACAUGCAAGUCGAACGAGGCAUUUGCGACAGAUUUUUUCGGAAUGAAGUUGCUUAUGACUGAGUGGCGGACGGGUGAGUAACGCGUGGGUAACCUGCCUUGUACUGGGGGAUAGCAGCUGGAAACGGCUGGUAAUACCGCAUAAGCGCACAAUGUUGCAUGACAUGGUGUGAAAAACUCCGGUGGUAUAAGAUGGACCCGCGUCUGAUUAGCUAGUUGGUGAGAUAACAGCCCACCAAGGCGACGAUCAGUAGCCGACCUGAGAGGGUGACCGGCCACAUUGGGACUGAGACACGGCCCAGACUCCCACGGGAGGCAGCAGUGGGGAAUAUUGCACAAUGGAGGAAACUCUGAUGCAGCGACGCCGCGUGAGUGAAGAAGUAAUUCGUUAUGUAAAGCUCUAUCAGCAGGGAAGAUAGUGACGGUACCUGACUAAGAAGCUCCGGCUAAAUACGUG